rnacentral:rRNA from 1 species
AUGGCUCCUCUCCACCCUCCCCUCCCUCUCCUCCCGCUCUCCUCCGGCAACUCCAACCCCACCCCUGCCCCCUCCUUCCCGGCUCCGGCGACCGCAUCCGUCCACGACCCCCUUCGUUGGAAUGACUCCCCCACUGACAAGGCACUGCGUGCCGCGCUUGGCGUGGGCGAUGCAAUGGGGGAGGACUUUCAAGCGCAAGUAUGGAGGUGCCUCUCCAUGCACAUCAAUCCGCGCCGCCAUGAAGCUCCCUGCUUCCUCUCGGUGCACGUCCACCACGUCUCUCUCGAACUCGACGAGGAUCUCGUGGCAGUCCUCAUGCAAGCUUGCCUGGGGGGCAACGCUCCCGCCUUCCAGGUAACCCGCCUUCGGGAUCAGCUCUUUCGUAUCUCUGUCUCCCACAAGCGCGUUGUUCAAGCUCUCAUCGCCGAGCCCAUUCUCACCGGAAAAACCCACUCCAUACAGUUUCUUCCUUAUCCACCGCCACAAUCCUCCUCACACCCAAAGCCCACCGACCAAAGGAAGCUUUUCGACAUUGGGGACCGCUUCGGCCACGCUGAUGCGUUCCUGCGCUCUCAGUUUCGGUUCGCCCCCUCUCCCGGAAUCGACUUCGAGCUCAAUAUCCUUGAGCUGUUCUCAUCCAAAGUUUUCGAGCCGCCUCUGGACGCGGCCACACCCAGCUCUAUCAUCUUCUUCGUCCACAAAGCGGACUUCAUGGUCGAUGAAACUCUCGUCGCCACCCUCCUCUCGUUCCGCUUUGGGGGACACGCGAGGUCCAUCACCGUUCGCCGUCUCUCCAAUGCUGCCUUCGCAGCGCCGGUCUCCUCCAACAUCGUCGCAACUCUCAUGGCGGCAUGCUCCCCAAUUGUGGCUCCUCGAAUCUUCGCAACCAUUACGGUUGCGCCUCGCAGCUCGACUGCGGUGUCGGCUGGGCGGCCACUGUCGCCGCCUCGCUCAUCGCCGGCGACGCCCUGCAUCUGCGUCAACGACCAUCCACGCUUCCCUCCAUGCAUGUCCUCCAUGCAGGUGGGGCCAGACGCCUCCAACGGUCGGCCGCCCGCUGGGCCUACUGCAACUUCAGCUCCACUCUCUCCACAGCGAAUGCAUGCAAAGGUACGGCCGUUCCGACCAGGCAUUUCGUUUAAUAAGCUGAUUUACUCUAAGUACCACUGCCUUGUCACCUCGCCCACCACAUGCCUAACCCACAAACCAACCAUUCCUAUAUGGAUUGUGCUUUUCUCAAAGUCAGUGUGUGCUAAUGAAACCUUGAUCAAUAAUGCUCUAGACCACCAAUUCUCAUUUCAAAGGGUUUUCCACGCCACCAUGCUAGCUCCAAACUUGUUUCUAGUGCAUGUCUACUCGGACCAGGUCAGGAAUGAAGUUCUCCGUGUCGCACCCAUCCUGUUUUCAAAUUUUGAACUACAACUAUUUGACUCGCUUGACCACGCUACGCAAACAGUGCGAGCAGUACCACUGCCUGUCGUCUUUGAACCGGACUCACUUGGUCUAUGCGUGACCGUCCUGCCCACCCACCGCACGUCCUGCCUUGGACCGCACCCGUCAACUAUAUCUCUACCACAUGAUCUUUCUCUCCUGCAAGCCAAGAUUCACGGCACUGUUCAGUGCGUGGAAUCCACUACCGAUGACCAUGUUGACCGCCAUGCAAUCGAUGGCCUGGGCCACCCGGCCACUAUCGACCCCCUUCCACGCCACAUAUCACAUCACACUGACGCAAAGACCCCACUCGAGUCGAACCAGCCGCCCUCCGGUCGGCCGCGCAGCCCCUGCGAUUCCCUAGGUGCCUCUUCUCGCCCAAAUCUAUACCCACCAGUCACUGAUUCACGGGCCCCACAUACGCCCCCCAGCUCCACCACCCAGGAUGAAAAAAACAACGCUUGCAUGCCCACGCAUGCGCCCAUCAUCACGUCUAGUCCACCACCUGCCUCCCCUACCUCCGCCAGCCUACACCCCGCCCAGUCCCCUCAGCUCCGUCCCGAGAUCGCCAUUAACCAGUCGCACACCCCUGCCGCUGCUGCCACCCCUCUGCGUUCUUCAAGCUCCACACCGAUGCAGGACCCGCGCUCCUACCGGGAGGUUUCGCUGAGCACCCCGCCUCGGAAGAAGAGUAGAUGCUUUCGGUGCCUUGCUAGCGAUCACACUAUCGCUGACUGCCGCGACCCCGUACGGUGCUCUCGCUGUUGGUGCUCCGGCCACCGGAGCUUCAGGUGCAAGGCUGUCCGCUUCCUCCCAUUCUUCCCUGUUAUGCCUCCUUCUCCUCGUAUUAACCCCGCUUUUGUGCGGCCUCCUUGCAGCUCAAUGGCUCAUAUGACGGGUACCCACACCGCCUCCGGCUCUUCCGCCGGUUCCGCGCUCUCCAACGGCGCCCCAAUCUGGUUCGGCUCCCACUGUGUUCUCACCAAUGACCUGCCACCAUUCCGCCUCCCGCUCAUCUUCGGCCCGCGUGCCUCCUCCUCAUCCUCCCCGGCGCUGUCCUUCGCCCCGCCACCGCCUCCAUUUUCGGUGGAUAACCUAGCCUACGUGCACCUCGCCACCCCUCUGCACAACCCAUUUAGGUUCAUUCGCCAAGCCCUCGCCCACCACCGCAACAACCCUGCGUUCGGCCUCACCUCCUCCGCACGUGGCGCCGGGUGUCUCUCCUUCCCUAACGCGGAGGAGCGCCUUGCGGCCACAGGCCAUGGUCCAAUCCAUUUCCAGGGCAACACUCUCUUCUUCGAACGGCCAGAGCACGCCGACAACAGAUCCACAGCCAUCUUCAUUCACAUGGUGGAGAUCGAGGCUUUCGAUUUCCCUGACGAACUGUGGCACCCAGAGGGAGUCGACUACUUCUUCUCUCACCUUGGAGAUUUCGUCUCCGCCGACCAACACUGCUUUCAGGGUGACUACUCGAGCGUACGCGCUCUAGUUAUGGUUGCCCGUGACUUCGUCCUCCCCCCAUGCCUCAUGGUGAGGCUCCCUGACAACGACGUUGUCAUUGUCAAGCUUGAGAGCCGUGCGCUCUUCCGUCAUGGUUCUCAUGCCUCCCCCUUCUCCUCGGAGGACGAUCAGAAAUAUUGCCAUGGCCAUGUCCCCAUUCGCUUGUACACCGGAGUCACCCACGGGCCCUCCUCCAUCUCCCGUGGACCGGCCUCUAGAAGGCAUCCCAAUCCUGGCUGUCAUGGCCGAUGGCAUGCCUGUCGCCAUGCUGGUUCAUGCCCCUUCGGCCCCCCCAUCUCGCUCCCCCUCUCCGGCUAA